CAGCGGGUUGGUCCGCUGAGUGGCAGAAAGGCAGACGGGGACUGGGAAAGGCACUGUCGGUGACAUCACGGAGAGGGCGACUUCUAUGUAGAUAAGGGAGCGCAGGGGCUCCUGCUUCCCCACCUGCUGCUUCGCCACGAAGGAGUGUUCCCGUGCCAUGGAGGCAGGUUCAGGACCGCUGGUCGGAACUGAGAGUCCCAGUUGUCUGUCAGGGCAAGAAGGACUCGGGAGUGCGCGGGGCAAGUGACCGUGUGUGUAAAGGGGCCCGCCCGGCAGGACUACUGAGCAAGGCCUUGGAAAACCGGAGAGAUUAGAGCGGUGAGUCGCCGUGGUCACGUCGGACACCUGUGUGUUAGGAGAUUCUGGAGCCAGACGGAGAGCCGAAUGGCCUUCGCCGGCCCUGCCCCUCUCCUUCUUCAGAAGCUCCCAGAAACUCCCCAGUCGGCGACCCAGCCCGAGCCUCCUCGGGUACCAAAUGAAACUGAACGCCCGGUGGGCUCCCCGGAUGGUUCUUCCCGUUGUUUUCGCCGCCUUCAUCCGGUGAGGGAGCCUGUGCCCACCCUGCCCAGUCGCUUUCGAGGCCGCUGUGGCGCUUCCGCUGCCAUCUUCGGAUCCUGUGUUCCGCACGGGGGCUCCACCAGGGCAGGGAUGGUGGCGAGGGUCGCUCGUGGGUCCCCUUGCAAGGAGCAGGGUCUGGCACUAGGCGUCUGGGAACCCUGAAAUCCUUGGAGGAGUAGCAUCAUCAUGACCCUCUGUGUUCCUUUUGGCAAAGGACUUGCUUCCAUUGUUUGUUUGUUCAAUUGUCUGUUAAAUAAAUAAAUAAACCCUUUUUCAUAUAUCUUUAAAAUUA